AAGGUCAUGGGUCAUGCUAGGUUCAUGGAGAUGAAUUGAAAGUUGAGGGCUUAUCGCUUACGGGUUUGUCGAGCUUGCUGGUCAGGGCUUGGGGUGGAGGAUGGUUUGUAGAAAGGACAAAAGGCAUGAGCUGUUUGACGACAACAAUGUAGAGGAUGAUUCGCAAGAGUGAUUGAUGAUGAUGAGUUUUGAUUUUUCUAGUUCAGAGGUAGAAAGUGAGAUUGAUGAUGGUCUUUUGGUCAUUUAUUUUUUUCUUUAAUUGUUGUUGUUGAUGUUGAUUUCUGGGUUUGAGACUGUCAAUAGCCGAGAAUGGCUUGAGACUGUCAAUAGCCGAGAAUGGGAAGGAUGAAGAGAGAGAAAAUAAUUUUUUUCUUUAUUUUAUUUUUCAAAUCAAUUUUAUUUACUUCUA